rnacentral:rRNA from 1 species
CUUAACACAUGCAAGUCGAACGAGAAAGUGGCUUCGGCCACGAGUAAAGUGGCGGACGGGUGCGUAACACGUGGGGAAUCUUCCUUCCGGCGGUGGAUAACAGUCCGAAAGGAUUGCUAAUACAGCAUACGUCGGCGAGGACUCCGGUUCUUGUCGGGAAAGGCGGCGCAAGCUGUCACCGGAAGACGACCCCGCGUCCCAUCAGCUAGUUGGUGAGGUAACGGCUCACCAAGGCUUAGACGGGUAGCUGGUCUGAGAGGAUGAUCAGCCACACUGGAACUGCGACACGGUCCAG